CCUACGGGGGGCUGCAGUGGGGAAUAUUGCACAAUGGGCGCAAGCCUGAUGCAGCCAUGCCGCGUGUGUGAAGAAGGCCUUCGGGUUGUAAAGCACUUUCAGCGGGGAGGAAGGCGGUGAGGUUAAUAACCUCAUCGAUUGACGUUACCCGCAGAAGAAGCACCGGCUAACUCCGUGCCAGCAGCCGCGGUAAUACGGAGGGUGCAAGCGUUAAUCGGAAUUACUGGGCGUAAAGCGCACGCAGGCGGUCUGUCAAGUCGGAUGUGAAAUCCCCGGGCUCAAACUGGGAACUGCAUUCGAAACUGGCAGGCUAGAGUCUUGUAGAGGGGGGUAGAAUUCCAGGUGUAGCGGUGAAAUGCGUAGAGAUCUGGAGGAAUACCGGUGGCGAAGGCGGCCCCCUGGACAAAGACUGACGCUCAGGUGCGAAAGCGUGGGGAGCAAACAGGAUUAGAUACCCUAGUAGUC
rnacentral:rRNA from 1 species